rnacentral:rRNA from 1 species
GUAGGGAAUAUUGGACAAUGGGCGAAAGCCUGAUCCAGCAAUGCCGCGUGAGUGAUGAAGGCCUUAGGGUUGUAAAGCUCUUUUACCAGGGAUGAUAAUGACAGUACCUGGAGAAUAAGCUCCGGCUAACUCCGUGCCAGCAGCCGCGGUAAUACGGAGGGAGCUAGCGUUGUUCGGAAUUACUGGGGGUAAAGCGCGCGUAGGCGGCGAUUUAAGUCAGAGGUGAAAGCCCGGGGCUCAACCCCGGAAUAGCCUUUGAGACUGGAUUGCUAGAAUCCUGGAGAGGUGAGUGGAAUUCCGAGUGUAGAGGUGAAAUUCGUAGAUAUUCGGAAGAACACCAGUGGCGAAGGCGGCUCACUGGACAGGUAUUGACGCUGAGGUGCGAAAGCGUGGGGAGCAAACAGGAUUAGAAACCCCUGUAGUCC